UCGGGAAUUUUGCCCAAUGGACGAAAGUCUGAGGCAGCAACUCCGCGUGAGGGAUGAAGGCUCUCGGGUCGUAAACCUCUUUUCUCAGGGAAGAUCCAAGACGGUACCUGAGGAAUAAGCGACGGCUAACUACGUGCCAGCAGCCGCGGUAAUACGUAGGUCGCAAGCGUUGUCCGGAUUUACUGGGCGUAAAGAGCGCGCAGGCGGCUGGUCAAGUCCGAUGUGAAAUCUCCCGGCUCAACUGGGAAACUGCAUCGGAAACUGAUCGGCUUGAAGGUGGGAGAGGGUAGUGGAAUUCCCGGUGUAAUGGUGAAAUGCGUAGAUAUCGGGAGGAACACCAGUGGCGAAGGCGACUACCUGGCCCAUUCUUGACGCUGAGGCGCGAAAGCUAGGGGAGCGAACGGG
rnacentral:rRNA from 1 species